GAGGAUGAUGAUAUGACAUUGUCGCCCCAGUCUUAGGACUCGCUCUAAUCGUGGGCCUUUGCUGAUUGACACUUGUAAAUCUGACUC
rnacentral:snoRNA from 2 species